rnacentral:rRNA from 1 species
AGAGUUUGAUCCUGGCUCAGGACGAACGCUGGCGGCGUGCCUAAUACAUGCAAGUCGAACGCUUCUUUUUCAUCGAACUUCGGUUCACCGGAAAAGAAGAGUGGCGAACGGGUGAGUAACACGUGGGUAACCUACCCAUCAGCGGGGGAUAACACUUGGAAACAGGUGCUAAUACCGCAUAAUCUUUUUCUCCGCCUGGAGAGGAAGUGAAAGGCGCUUUUGCGUCACUGAUGGAUGGACCCGCGCUGCAUUAGCUAGUUGGUGAGGUAACGGCUCACCAAGGCCACGAUGCAUAGCCGACCUGAGAGGGUGAUCGGCCACACUGGGACUGAGACACGGCCCAGACUCCUACGGGAGGCAGCAGUAGGGAAUCUUCGGCAAUGGACGAAAGUCUGACCGAGCAACGCCGCGUGAGUGAAGAAGGUUUUCGGAUCGUAAAACUCUGUUGUUAGAGAAGAAUAAGGAUGAGAGUAAAAAGUUCAUCCCUUGACGGUAUCUAACCAGAAAGCCACGGCUAACUACGUGCCAGCAGCCGCGGUAAUACGUAGGUGGCAAGCGUUGUCCGGAUUUAUUGGGCGUAAAGCGAGCGCAGGCGGUUUCUUAAGUCUGAUGUGAAAGCCCCCGGCUUAACCGGGGAGGGUCAUUGGAAACUGAGAAACUUGAGUGCAGAAGAGGAGAGUGGAAUUCCAUGUGUAGCGGUGAAAUGCGUAGAGAUCUGGAGGAAUACCGGUGGCGAAGGCGGCCCCCUGGACGAAGACUGACGCUCAGGUGCGAAAGCGUGGGGAGCAAACAGGAUUAGAUACCCUGGUAGUCCACGCCGUAAACGAUGUCGACUUGGAGGUUGUGCCCUUGAGGCGUGGCCUCCGGAGCUAACGCGUUAAGUCGACCGCCUGGGGAGUACGGCCCGCAAGGUUAAAACUCAAAUGAAUUGACGGGGGCCCGCACAAGCGGUGGAGCAUGUGGUUUAAUUCGAUGCAACGCGAAGAACCUUACCUGGUCUUGACAUCCACGGAAGUUUUCAGAGAUGAGAAUGUGCCUUCGGGAACCGUGAGACAGGUGCUGCAUGGCUGUCGUCAGCUCGUGUUGUGAAAUGUUGGGUUAAGUCCCGCAACGAGCGCAACCCUUAUCCUUUGUUGCCAGCGGUCCGGCCGGGAACUCAAAGGAGACUGCCAGUGAUAAACUGGAGGAAGGUGGGGAUGACGUCAAGUCAUCAUGGCCCUUACGACCAGGGCUACACACGUGCUACAAUGGCGCAUACAAAGAGAAGCGACCUCGCGAGAGCAAGCGGACGUCAUAAAGUGCGUCGUAGUCCGGACUGGAGUCUGCAACUCGACUCCAUGAAGUCGGAAUCGCUAGUAAUCGUGGAUCAGAAUGCCACGGUGAAUACGUUCCCGGGCCUUGUACACACCGCCCGUCACACCAUGGGAGUGGGUUGCAAAAGAAGUAGGUAGCUUAACCUUCGGGAGGGCGCUUACCACUUUGUGAUUCAUGACUGGGGUGAAGUCGUAACAAGGUAACCGUA